rnacentral:misc_RNA from 1 species
AACUUGUGACAAUGGAUCUCUUGGCUCUCGCACCGAUGAAGAACGCAGCGAAAUGCGAUAAGUAAUGUGAAUUGCAGAAUUCAGUGAAUCAUCGAAUCUUUGAACGCACCUUGCGCCUUUUGGUAUUCCGAAGGGCAUGCCUGUUUGAGUGUCAUUAAUAUCUCAACUUCAAAACCUUUUGGUUUUUUGAAGCCUUGGAUGUUGGAGGCUUAUGCUGGUGAAUUAACUGGCUCCUCUUAAAUACAUUAGCGGAACUUAAUGAAUCGGCUUUGGCUUGAUAAUAAUAAUAAAUCUAUGCUAUCGCUGAGGAGUCUGUCUUCUGCUUCUAACUGUCCUCUGGGACUGCCUUUUGGCAAUUAUUUUAAACUUGACCUCAAAUCAGGUAGGACUACCCGCUGAACUUAAGCAUAUCAAUAAGCGGAGGCU